CAGAGCGUGGUCUAGAGGUCAUGACUCCUCAUUUACACUCAGGUGAUCUGAGGCGAUCCCCGGUUCGAUCCCGGGCGUUCUGA
rnacentral:tRNA from 1 species